CGUACAGGUCUCCGUUGGUGAACCAGCGGAGGGAUCAUUACCGAGUUUACAACUCCCAAACCCCUGUGAACAUACCUAUACGUUGCCUCGGCGGAUCAGCCCGCGCCCUGUAAAAAGGGACGGCCCGCCCGAGGACCCUAAACUCUGUUUUUAGUGGAACUUCUGAGUAAAACAAACAAAUAAAUCAAAACUUUCAACAACGGAUCUCUUGGUUCUGGCAUCGAUGAAGAACGCAGCAAAAUGCGAUAAGUAAUGUGAAUUGCAGAAUUCAGUGAAUCAUCGAAUCUUUGAACGCACAUUGCGCCCGCCAGUAUUCUGGCGGGCAUGCCUGUUCGAGCGUCAUUUCAACCCUCCAGCUCAGCUUGGUGUUGGGACUCGCGGUAACCCGCGUUCCCCAAAUCGAUUGGCGGUCACGUCGAGCUUCCAUAGCGUAGUAGUAAAACCCUCGUUACUGGUAAUCGUCGCGGCCACGCCGUUAAACCCCAACUUCUGAAUGUUGACCUCGGAUCAGGUAGGAAUACCCGCUGAACUUAAGCAUAUCA
rnacentral:rRNA from 1 species